GACUACAGCCAUACCACUCUGAAAGUGCCUGAUCUCAUCUGAUCUCAGAAGCUAAGCAGGGUUAGGCCUGGUAAGUACUUGAAUGGGAGACAAAAAGUUGGUACCAUCAAAAAUAAGUGGGGUGACUGUUCUAU
rnacentral:rRNA from 1 species